rnacentral:rRNA from 1 species
UACGGAGGGUGCGAGCGUUAAUCGGAGUCACUGGGCGUAAAGCGCGCGUAGGCGGCUUUUCAAGUCAGGGGUGAAAUCCCACGGCCCAACCGUGGAACUGCCUUUGAAACUGUAGAGCUUGAGUGUCGGAGAGGGUGGCGGAAUUCCAGGUGUAGGAGUGAAAUCCGUAGAUAUCUGGAGGAACACCGGUGGCGAAGGCGGCCACCUGGACGACAACUGACGCUGAGGUGCGAAAGCGUGGGUAGCAAACAGG